rnacentral:rRNA from 1 species
UGAGGAACAUGACCUCCGGCGGGGGAUAGCCGGCCCAACGGCCGGGUAAUACCGCGUACGACCGUCUAGGGACAUCCCUGGAUGGUGAAAGCAGCAAUGCGCCGAUGGAGUGCCUCGCGGCCUAUCAGCUAGUUGGUGAGGUAACGGCUCACCAAGGCGACGACGGGUAGCUGGUCUGAGAGGAUGGCCAGCCACAUUGGGACUGAGACACGGCCCAGACCUCCGUAGGGAGG